rnacentral:rRNA from 1 species
CCAACCCUACGGGACGCAGCAGUGAGGAAUAUUGGUCAAUGGUCGGGAGACUGAACCAGCCAAGCCGCGUGAGGGAGGAAGGUACAGAGUAUCGUAAACCUCUUUUGUCAGGGAACAAAGGCGGGGACGUGUCCCCGGAUGAGUGUACCUGAAGAAAAAGCAUCGGCUAACUACGUGCCAGCAGCCGCGGUAAUACGUAGGUGGCAAGCGUUGUCCGGAUUUAUUGGGCGUAAAGCGAGUGCAGGCGGUUCAAUAAGUCUGUUGUGAAAGACUUCGGCUCAACCGGAGAAUUGUAUCAG